UGCAAAAGCAAUUAGCGGGAAAGGAAUCUCAGAUAUGGAAGAAGGAGAAGUCAAAGAGUUUAUCGACAAAUGACGAUUGAGAAACUGGAUGAUUUCAUAAUACUAGAAGACAGGGUAAUGAGGCAGAUAAAUUGCCUUUAAUUUACAAGAAGUUAUGCAUUUUUAGAAACGGCACAGGUUGUCGAAAACGGCCUAUAAGAAAAACUAUAAAACAAAUUAAUAAACAAUUAUGUUUUCAUUAGAUGGCGCGCAAUGAAAUCUUAUGACUUUAUUUAUUUUUUUUUUGUUAUUAGCUUUUGGCAACGAGAAUGCGCAGUUUUUGAAAAAAAGAUAUGUAAGAUGUCGGAUGUAAUUUCGAUUUAGUGUUUCUGUAUAUCUUAACGUUGAAUUAUUUGAAAUUAAAGGUUUUUCUUUCUUGAGAUGUAGAUUUAAUGAAUAGAUCUCCGAAAUUAUCUUUAGACAAGCUCACCCGGAAUCGAACUUUUAGAAGGAAGAAAGGUAUUGUCCGAGACUGCAAUGGAGAAUGAGACAAAUGAAGAAAACAGAGCGCAUCUUAUGAGAGGCACUGAGAACUUCUACGCUCCUUCCGGCGAAACGUUCCUAUAGUUGUUGCAUUAGUCAUGUCCCAGCCAAGAUAGAUUGCGCAAGUUUUGCAAAGCCGUAAUAGGGAUCUGGAGGAGCAAAUUGUUGGAAAGAGACAGUGUUUGCAACGAAGGUGGAAAAGCAUGACGCUCAAUUUCUACAAGGCAGUUUUGAUCCAAG